CACACACCCGGAGCUCUCCGCGUGCAGUACAGGGUUAUAGGAAACCUGGGCUUGUCACCGCCUCAGAGCAAAAGAACUUCCUCAAGACACAGCCACACGCCUACCCGCCUGCCCACCUACGCAGUCUGGAGACAACUUCUUUAACUCAGAGCCUGCUUCCUCUUUGGCAGGGAUGCCACCUGCUGGGAUCAUAAGGAACCUAACACCUGAACGCCUGUUCCUCCAUGCACCCACCCGCCCACCAGUGCUUUCUCGCUCCUGCUGAGCAGCCUGGGGCUCUUCACAUCCCAGAGGAACAUGAAGCCAAAGCCCGAGAGGCUGUUCAGAGGCAGCAUCCCUCGGAGAAAGGGGAGAAAGGGGCAAAGAGGUGCUCAGAGUGCCCAGCCGUCAAGGUAAUCUCAGAAGGCAGCAGAAUUCUUCCAAGCCAGACCAAGCUCUAGCCAUUCACAAGCCCCAAGUUCAAGUGCGGAAGCAACAGCCCAUUCAUUACCACGGUGCCUGCCGCCCCCUAGUGGCCCCCACCUGGAUAUGCAAGAGGAAGCGAUGCCUUCUACCAAACCAGUGAAGAAAAGGGAAGACUCAGAGAAAACUGGCCUGGGAAAGCCCCAAGAAGCAGGCCCACCCUACCUCAUCCAAGCCCCGAGGAGGGCAUCCUGAGAGGCCCCAGGAUCUGGAGGCAACACAAGUAGAAGCAGCUAUGCCUGGGACUCCAAGAAACCUCACAGCCGGCAGGCACCUUCUCCCCCCUCAACCUGGGGCUUCUCCCAGGCCAGUCCCCUCCAUUGUGACAGAACAAGCCCAGCCCCCAGACAGAGCCCAGGGCAAGCACCAAGAUGGGACAAGGUGGCCCCUACACCCCAGAGAGGGGCCAAGGUCAGUUACCGGCUUGCUCCUCGGGGGCCUCUGUCAGGAAGGGAACAAGAAGCAGAGUUAUUCCAAGGGGACUGCUCGGACUUAGGGCCCUUCUCUUUCCCCUCAGCUUCCGAAUCCUGCCCCCCCCCCAACUCUUCACAGUGCUCUGCAUUACUGCCAUCCAAGUCCAGGGGCAGAGAUCCUUCUCUGGGCAUCAGAGCCUCCUGUUCUGACGUGGGAGACUGGGAAGAGGCACACGCAACAGAGGGUGAUAACAGACACAUCUGUGCUGGGCCUCACCAGACCCAGAAGGCACACCCAGCCCGGAAACCUGAGAGGCCCAGGCAUCUGCACCCUGGGCCUCCCCAGACUCACCCAGAGAGAAGCCAUCCUUAUGGACCAGCCACACCUUCUCCGUCUCAUACCAGGCCUCCUCAGCUGCAAUCUGCUCUUCUGUCUUCACCUAUCAGAGGAAGGGGGGGUAAUAAACAGUCAGACCUUGCUCUGGAAAACAGUCGGGACAGAAGAGAAGAGACACGUGAGGGGAAGUGCUUCCAGAUGAGCCACCUGGUUAAACGUUCAUCUCGACUGGACACAUUCUACGGGUCAGAUGCUUGGAACCUGAUGAAGAAGGGGACAUCACAGGGUCCUGGCCUAGAACGAAUCCUUUAGAGCUAAUUCAAAGGUGAGAAGCCCACGUGAGGGCCCCCAGACUGCCAUGGAGCCAUCCUUCCAUAUUCAGGUGCUCCCCCCGUCCCCCCUGGCCUGGGAACCAUACACGUGAGGUGGCAUUACAGGAGUUGUGAAGAUCCUCUCAAGGCGCUGGUGGGCCUCCUCUGCGGGGGUCAGCUGGACCUCAGCGGCAGCUCCUGCCUAGAGGUUAAACCACUGUUAGUCCUGGCCUGGGGAGGAGUGGGGGGCACGGCAUGCCAAGCUUCUAGCCUAGGAAGCCACUGGGACCCAGUGGGAAGGUGGAGUAGGGUCAGGGAGGCAAGCCAGGCACCAACUUGAGCUGUCUUUUUUUUUUUUUUUUUU